UGGGGAAUUUUGCACAAUGGAGGAAACUCUGAUGCAGCGACGCCGCGUGAGUGAUGAAGAUCUUCGGAUUGUAAAACUCUGUCCUUAGUGAAGAUAAUGACAGUAACUAAGAAGCAAGCCCUGGCUAAAUACGUGCCAGCAGCCGCGGUAAUACGUAUGGGGCAAGCGUUGUCCGGAAUUAUUGGGCGUAAAGGGUACGUAGGCGGUUUAAUAAGUCCUAAUUAAAAGGCUAUGGCUCAACCAUAGUAUGGUUAGGAAACUGUUGAACUUGAGUAGAUGAGGGGAAAGUGGAAUUCCAUGUGUAGCGGUGAAAUGCGUAGAUAUAUGGAGGAACACCAAUGGCGAAGGCAACUUUCUGGAAUCAAACUGACGCUGAGGUACGAAGGCGUGGGGAGCAAAUAGG
rnacentral:rRNA from 1 species